UUCGCCGAACACACACGACCAGGUGACCAUGGCAAAGACGGCGACCACGUGCUGGUCUUUCUGUUUCGGCCUUUUCUGGGAGGGUGGUCACAAACUGUGGGCACAUUUUGUGCUUCUGGUGCUGCCCCAGGAUCAAUCGUGGCGAAGCUCCUUUUGCAGUGCAUUGUUCACCUUACAAACGCUGGUGUUGUUGUUGACGCAGUGACCUGCGACAACUCCACAUCAAACCAAUCAGCCUUGAGAUCUCUGGGUGUCAACGGGGACAUGCACAAGCUUCAAACGUGUUUUGAACACCCGUGUGAGCCCUCAAAGCAAGUCCACGUUGUAAUUGAUCCACCGCACAUAUUUAAGUGCAUCAGAAACAACUUGCUCAAAGUGGGCAAGUUUUUGCUCCCUCAAGGACAGGAGGUGUUCCACUGUCACUACAAGGACUUACUGGACUAUGAAGAAGAACAGGCUGGACUCCGGGCUGUACCGAAGUUAACGAAAGCCCAUAUUUUCCCCAAUGCGUUCCAAAAGAUGAGCGUGAAGUUGGCUGUCCAGGCAAGUCAUGCACGCAGCUAUGUUCAGUGCAAAGUGUAUUUCAAAAACAUCUGCUCACACGUUUUGGGAAGUAAACUUAAAAUCCUUUUUUUCCACACAUUUUACAGCUGUUCAGUGAGAGUACUGCUUCGGCCAUGGAGUUUUAUAGCGAGCAGGAAGACUGCAAGAAGCUCCAUGGGUCGGCUGCAACAUCGCAAUUCACAAGAACAUUGAACAAGCUGUUCGACUGCCUGAACUCUCGGAGGCCAGACCAUGUUCGAUUCAACGAAGCACAACACAUUGCUGUGUUGAAGGACAGCAUUGCAUGGCUGGACAACUGGGAGAAAUACAUCAAGACAUUACCGACCCAGAGGCAAGUCUGCUUUCUGAGUAAGCAGACAUGUGGAGCCCUCAGACUGACACUGCAUAGCUCAGUUGCACUCAUCGAGAGCUUGCUGUUGUCUGGGUUUCGUUACGUUCUCGUUGGGAACUUCGGACAAGAUCCU